UGAGGAAUAUUGCGCAAUGGGCGAAAGCCUGACGCAGCGACGCCGCGUGGGUGACGAAGGCCCUCGGGUCGUAAAACCCUUUUAGCAGGGACGAGUGAGGACGGUACCUGUUGAAUAAGUCUCGGCGAACUACGUGCCAGCAGCCGCGGUAAAACGUAGGAGGCGAGCGUUAUCCGGAUUCACUGGGCGUAAAGCGCACGUAGGCGGUCGGGUAAGUCGGAUGUUAAAGCCCCUGGCUCAACUAGGGGAGGUCAUUCGAUACUGCUCGGCUUGAGGAUGAGAGAGGAAAGUGGAAUUCCCGGUGUAGCGGUGGAAUGCGUAGAGAUCGGGAGGAACACCAGUGGCGAAAGCGGCUUUCUGGCUCAUUCCUGACGCUGAGUGUGCGAAAGCGUGGGGAGCAAACGGG
rnacentral:rRNA from 1 species